rnacentral:rRNA from 1 species
UGGGGAAUUUUGGACAAUGGGCGAAAGCCUGAUCCAGCAAUGCCGCGUGUGUGAAGAAGGCCUUCGGGUUGUAAAGCACUUUUGUCCGGAAAGAAAUCCUUGGCUCUAAUACAGUCGGGGGAUGACGGUACCGGAAGAAUAAGCACCGGCUAACUACGUGCCAGCAGCCGCGGUAAUACGUAGGGUGCAAGCGUUAAUCGGAAUACUGGGCGUAAAGCGUGCGCAGGCGGUUUGCUAAGACCGAUGUGAAAUCCCCGGGCUCAACCUGGGAACUGCAUUGGUGACUGGCAGGCUAGAGUAUGGCAGAGGGGGGUAGAAUUCCGACGUGUAGCAGUNAAUGCGUAGAGAUGUGGAGGAAUACCGAUGGCGAAGGCAGCCCCCUGGGCCAAUACUGACGCUCAUGCACGAAAGCGUGGGGAGCAAACAGGAUUAGAUACCCUGGUAGUCCACGCCCUAAACGAUGUCAACUAGUUGUUGGGGAUUCAUUUCCUUAGUAACGUAGCUAACGCGU